AACACAUGCAAGUCGAACGAGACCUUCGGGUCUAGUGGCGCACGGGUGCGUAACGCGUGGGAAUCUGCCCUUGGGUUCGGAAUAACUUCGGGGAAACUGAAGCUAAUACCGGAUGAUGACGUAAGUCCAAAGAUUUAUCGCCCAAGGAUGAGCCCGCGUAGGAUUAGCUAGUUGGUGAGGUAAAGGCUCACCAAGGCGACGAUCCUUAGCUGGUCUGAGAGGAUGAUCAGCCACACUGGGACUGAGACACGGCCCAGACUCCUACGGGAGGCAGCAGUGGGGAAUAUUGGACAAUGGGCGAAAGCCUCGAUCCAGCAAUGCCGCGUGAGUGAUGAAGGCCUUAGGGUUGUAAAGCUCUUUUACCCGGGAUGAUAAUGACAGUACCGGGAGAAUAAGCUCCGGCUAACUCCGUG
rnacentral:rRNA from 1 species